rnacentral:rRNA from 1 species
CCUACGGGAGGCAGCAGUGAGGAAUAUUGGUCAAUGGACGAGAGUCUGAACCAGCCAAGUAGCGUGAAGGAUGACUGCCCUAUGGGUUGUAAACUUCUUUUAUAUGGGAAUAAAAUGUUCCACGUGUGGGAUUUUGUAUGUACCAUAUGAAUAAAGAUCGGCUAACUCCGGGCCAGCAGCCGCGGUAAUACGGAGGAUCCGAGAUUUAGCGGGAUUUAUUGGGUUUAAAGGGAGCGUAGGUGGAUUGUUAAGUCAGUUGUGAAAGUUUGCGGCUCAACCGUAAAAUUGCAGUUGAAACUGGCAGUCUUGAGUACAGUAGAGGUGGGCGGAAUUCGUGGUGUAGCGGUGAAAUGCUUAGAUAUCACGAAGAACUCCGAUUGCGAAGGCAGUUCACUGGACUGCAACUGACACUGAGGCUCGAAAGUGUGGGUAUCAAACAGGAUUAGAUACCCCGGUAGUC